ACCCCACACAAAAUCUUUUAUAAAAAUAACUUGAUUUUGACCUUUUUAACGAUUUGUUUCCAUUUCCAAGAAUCAUUCAUAGUGCUUCGUUGAAUAUUCCCAACUUUUACCACAUGCUUUUCAUGUCUUUUGUCACAUAUUUAAACCCAAAAAUCCCACUAGGUCAUUAUUUUGUCUAAGUUCUUAAGCAUAUACAAGUCAAAAGUCAAGUGGGUUUUGGAACAGAGAUAGCUGGUUGACUCUUGGUAUUCAUUUUUCUUGCAAAUUUUUGAAGCUUCUGCAAGUCAAAAGUCAAUGUACCCAAGGGUCAAGGUGAGGGUACAGAAAGAAGAAGAUGAUGAGUAUGCUUAUGAGUCUUUGCCAUCUUUGAAGGCUUUUGAAUCCCUUUCCAUAAGUGAUUUCUCUUCUUCAGAUGAUUCUCCUACAUCAGUUGUGAGGAUACCCCGAGCAUGUAUUUUAAGUCCAGACAGACAUGGACUUCCAUUAUCAACAGGUUACAUACUUCUUUAACAACUUUUUGUUACCUCUUAGGCUCUUACUUUGAAAGUCAAUUGACAUUCACUGUGUUGAUUGGCAGGGAGAAGCAAGGACAACCGAAACAUUUUUGGAGGAAGCAAAACAAAUCCAAGGGCCACUUCAGUCCCACGACCACGUGCAGUCUUAUCAAGCCCGGAUAAUGAUCAAAUUAUAAGCACGAGGAGAAAGACGAAAGCAGAAGUAAUUUCAGGCUUGAAGAAUCACAGUUCAUGUCAAAACAGACAUCACAUCAAGUGCAACACUUUUCCAAAAUCAAUUCAAGUUGAAAAUCAUGCAAGUGGACAUAAGGGCUCAAAAGAAACGGCUUAUGGGAAAAUUGAUUCUCGAGCAAGAGCAAGGCUAGUGAAAGCCGAUCCAAGUCAAAGAACACACCUUCGGAAAGCAGAUCAAGAUUCUGUCUGUUCAAAGUAAUGAACUGAGCAGUCCAUAUUGGCUAAGUAGUCAAACUCAUUCUUGUUUGCAUACAAUUCUGGAAGUUUUUCAGUGCAACUGUCCCUUGACCAAGUUAUAACUGAACUUGAAACCCUUCAUAGAGAAACCUUCUUAUGAUUCCUUUUAUGAAAAGAUUAAUCCUCUGGGCAGAAAAUUCUGCAUUUUCAGACUCUU